AAGGAUAUGUUGUUGUGUAGGGGAAAAGUAGGGGAAAACAAGGAAAAAAAUAGUAGGGGGAAGUAGGGGGGAAAUAAAGUUUGGUAGGUGAAAUGUGCAUACACAGAGUGGCAGCACUAUAGAGAGAUGGGAUGCAACAGAUAGAGAGAUGGGAUGCUUUAUUUCACAUAAAUAUUGCUCCCAAAAAAAGCUGAAUUAUGUAUAUUUA